GGUAAGAUGGCCGAGUGGUUUAAGGCGGCAGAUUUAAGCGUCUUGGCAUUUCCAAGAUCCCUGCUGACGAAAGUCGCCUGGGUUCGAACCCCAGUCUUACCA